AAACAAAGUAAACAAAAUUAAAGUCUGGUAUGACUGUUCUUCAGAACAUUGUUGCUGGUCAUAUACUCAUUGGAAUGUGGAAGAAUGAGAAGGAGCCUAACUGAAACAGUUGGCCACAAAGACAGAGUCAACAUCCAUGGCAUGGUGGUUGUCAUGGAGAAAGGAGACGGAAGCAGCAGCUGAAAGAGGCGAAGAAGAAACAGCAACGGUGGUGGAGGAGACAGUAAGAGAUGAUUGUAAGGAGGGGCUACACUUGCCAGGUGAAGUGGAAAGGAAACCUGGUCCAUAAUCUCUGUCAACGCAGGCCUAAAGGACAGGGUGUUGUUCAAAUCAGCAAGCAUUUCUUUUGGAUUUCCUAACCAAAAGUAAUCUGUUGGAAGGUUUUCUCAUCUGUUUAGUAAUGAAAUUAUUGAUAUAUUAGCAAAUACUGAAAAGGUGAUCUAUAUGUCUCAUAAUGUCUUCAAUCAAAUUAUUUAUUUUUUUAAAAUGUAAUUAGUCAUACAAUAUGAUCACUAAAAGAAACUCCAGAAGGAUCAAAAUAAAACAAUUUUCUUUGCAACGUUGCUUGAUGGACUCAGCUAACCACAUAACACCAAGGACCAAUGUGAUCCCAACAGUGAGCUGUACAAACUACAGAACAAUACAGAUGAAACAGACACCAAUAAGAACAAGUAGACAGCCAGUUUCUAAAAAAUAAAUUCUACCCCUGUUUUAGGUAUUUUCUUUACUUUUAUAAAAUGGGAAGGAAUGCUAAAAACAAUGUAUAUUUCCUGUGUAAUUAUUUAUUGAGCCGAUCAACUUCUGCUUUGCAUGGCCUGUAUCUUUCAUCCUUGGCAAUGUUGACAAGGUCAUUUUUAUUAUCAUCACUAUUUACUGGUGGGGAACCUUCUCCUUGAACAGAUCAAUGUGGUGAUGGCACUUACAUGACAGCGUUAGUGAGGAAAUGUUACCUUGACAAUGAUGAAGGAACAAGAACACAAGACCAAGUCAGGAUGAAGUUUAACUUUGAGGGGAGCUUGGAAUCAGUGUUGGCAUAGAACUGUUGCCCUUGUCCUGACUCUGCACUCAAGGCUGCAGAGCUGGAGGUUGUUACAGAAAUAAGCUUAGCAGGGUGUUGCAAUGCACUUUUGGGAUGCUGCAUACUGCAGCCACAGCAUACUGGUGACAUCCUGCUGGAUAAAACAAUCAGUGACAGGGCUGUUCAUCAAAAAAAGUCCUCUGCUCUAACAGACUGCAGACAUUUCAGUAUCAUUGCUGCCUAACCUCAAUUUGGCAAGAAUGUUGCUUAUGAUGAAGCAGUUGAAUGAGAAUAAGGAGAUGAGACAUCCCUCAGGAGUACUUUGAGCAAUACCCUGAAGGUUGCAACAAUAUGGCUUUUCAUCUUUCAUUCAUCAGGACAAUUUGCAAGAAAUACUAAGGUAAAGGAAAAAUAACACUUAUACUGUAUGAAAAGACAGUCUUGACUGAUUGGCUACGAGUAUCCUUCAGGGAGUUCUCCUCAGUUUGUUCACAUUUAAAUACUUCAUUAUAAGCGGAAUCUGGUUGGUACAGAUAUUACCAAAGAGGAUUCAGCAGUUAGAUGACAACUGACAGUUAACUGCCAAGCCCUCUUUAAAUUUUAUACCAGCGGGUUGACUCGGAUAUUUCAAGGCAUUGUUUUGAUACAUGCAAGUCAGCCACACUGCAAGCCUGAAUGACAACCCUAAGCUGGCUGUGAAUGUAAUUCUUUGCAUAAUCAGUUUUAUUUAGCAAAUGUUGUCCAAUCACAGAAUUGCAGCUAAUUUAGGACACUGUGUCAUGAGUUCUGCCAACACAGUCUGGUUGGUGAAGUCAGUGCCUUGCUUUGUGCAAACAGCCUAAGGGUCAUGUUGUUUAAUACUAUGCACCAGUCAUUGGGACAGACACCCCCCCGUCCCACCGCCCUACUCCCACUAACCCCACACACACCACCCUACCACCCCUCUCCCCCACUAACUAUAGCAUAAAUACUGUCCCCUCCACACUUCACUCCACCUCUGAUGAAAAGUCAUCUAGACUGAAGAGUCGUCUAGAUUUGAAACAUUAGCUUGCUCCCUCUCCAUUGAUGCUGUCUGGCUUUCUGUGAUCUCCAGCUUACUCAUUAGUGUGAUAGACAGAAUGUUCUUUUGGCUGCAGUCUGGUAUUAUGAUGUUCAGUGGUGUUUUUGGUGGGAUUGCGUGUU